ensembl:lncRNA
UCAUUUCAAUAUUUUUAUUUAACAUAUUAUCGUCCAUCUAGAAUAAAGAGAUGUACUUCAUCUGUUGGUAUAUAUUAUAUUCAUUUAUAUAUCUGAACAGCUCUCGUUUUUACAAAAUGUCCUAAUAAUCUGUCAUCCUUCCGGCCUUCGUCCAUACAUAGAAAAGAUUUUCCCGCCAAAACAUGAAAAGCUUCCCCUGCCUUUCAGCUCACUACAAAUUGUGCUUAAUUUAUUCGCUCGGCAGUUGGUUCAAAACGUUUCCUGUACGGCAUGGAGUGACGUAAACUACUGAACAGAGGCAGUCGUUCAUCCGUUUUCUUUUUUCCUAGCUUUCACCGGGAUAGCGUGGUGUGUUUCAGCUCCAGGGGUCAGUUCGUUGACGUCAGUGUGUGGGUCAUAUUGCACCCCUUUAUCACUCCAGAAGCGUUAUCUGCCCUGCAUUGCACAAGGCCAGAGAUAGGCGUACACAAACCGUAGCCUAUGUACCCCCCCACUCCCUUAUGCUGUAGAAUACCACUGAUAAACUAUUGAACUGGCUCAAAGAUCAACUCUGACGCAAUGGCUUAAAAUCUCUUAAAAUCUCUCGGAAAUAAAUAUAGACUGUAUAUACCGUUACUAUAAUACCUAGUACCAUCUGGCUAUUGGGCACCGUAAGCAUAAAUAGCAACCAUUCAAUAACAACGAGUACCUUUGUUCCUAUACGCUCUUUGUCCCUACUGGGCUUCCUUAUCUGUCCUCUAGUUAAACUAUCGACCUAUUAAACACUAGUACUUCACUUCCCUCUCUUCCUAUUAGGAGUAAUCUUCUCCUCAUGGUAUUAGAAUCCUCUGCAGAAUUCAUUUAAUUCCUUUCUCCACACCUUGUCCUGUUUUUGAGAGGUGUGGGGGGGCUGGAGACUAGAGGGGGAGGUGUGUGUUUAAUGUUACCAUCAUGCUACGGCCCCCUGCAUUAGCAUGCAGCGCUACACAGAGACUCGGGGAUAGCAGAGGUGUUGGUCCUAAUGCAGGCAGCAUGCAGGGGGAGUCUCCCUGUACGUCCCUUAAUCCCCCAUGGUUCUUCUUAUACCCGUAGCCGUGGUGACCAGACACCCCAGUGGCU